UACGUAGGGUGCGAGCGUUAAUCGGAAUUACUGGGCGUAAAGCGUGCGCAGGCGGUCACGCAAGACAGAUGUGAAAUCCCCGAGCUCAACUUGGGAACUGCAUUUGUGACUGCAUGGCUUGAGUGCGGCAGAGGGGAAUGGAAUUCCGCGUGUAGCAGUGAAAUGCGUAGAUAUGCGGAGGAACACCGAUGGCGAAGGCAGUUCCCUGGGCCUGCACUGACGCUCAUGCACGAAAGCGUGGGGAGCAAACAGG
rnacentral:rRNA from 1 species